rnacentral:lncRNA from 1 species
ACUCUAGGCGGCUAGGAAGGCUCGCUAGACCAGCAGCCAGACCAAGAAUGAAUGUGUAAUGAUGGUGAUUCCACACCAGGCUCAAUAAAAAAUUGAAUGUAGAAAGGGGAUCCUAAACAAAAAAGGAGUCCAUGACCCCUUUUUAGAGCGUAUAAGGGGAGGUCGAAUUCCAAACCUUUUCUCUCGAGUAUACCCAUUACCAAAAAAUAUACGUCACUUUGGGACACAUGCGCAUAGCCGCCGCGCGUGGCUAAAGGUCAACCAAAAAUCAAAAAAUAUACGUCACCUUGGGACACAUGCGUAUAGCCGCCGAGCGUGGCUAAAGGUCAACCAAAAAAAAGAGCUCAAAC